CCUACGGGUGGCAGCAGUGAGGAAUAUUGGUCAAUGGACGAAAGCCUGAACCAGCAAUGCCGCGUGCAGGAAGACGGCGCUAUGAGUUGUAAACUGCUUUUGUACAAGGGUAAACCUGAAUACGUGCAUUCAGCUGAAAGUACGGUACGAACAAGCAUCGGCUAACUCCGUGCCAGCAGCCGCGGUAAUACGGAGGAUCCAAGCGUUAUCCGGAUUUAUUGGGUUUAAAGGGUGCGUAGGCGGAUUGAUAAGUUAGAGGUGAAAUGUCCGGGCUCAACUCGGGAACUGCCUCUAAUACGGUUGAUCUAGAGAGUAGAUGCGGUAGGCGGAAUGUAUGGUGUAGCGGUGAAAUGCUUAAAGAUCAUACAGAACACCGAUUGCGAAGGCAGCUGACCAAUCUAUAUCUGACGUUGAGGCACGAAAGCGUGGGGAGCAAACAGGAUUAGAUACCCUUGUAGUC
rnacentral:rRNA from 1 species